UACGAAGGGUGCAAGCGUUAAUCGGAAUUACUGGGCGUAAAGCGUGCGUAGGCGGUGAUUUAAGUCUGCUGUGAAAUCCCCGGGCUCAACCUGGGAAUGGCAGUGGAUACUGGAUCGCUAGAGUGUGAUAGAGGAUGGUGGAAUUCCCGGUGUAGCGGUGAAAUGCGUAGAUAUCUGGAGGAACACCGGUGGCGAAGGCGGCAUCCUGGACCGACACUGACGCUGAGGAGCGAAAGCCAGGGGAGCAAACGGG
rnacentral:rRNA from 1 species